CUUAGAGCCGUGACUGCAGCGGUCUUCCCUGGGACAGAGGAACAGCUCAGGGAGAAGGAAGAGAAAGCGGGAAGAAAACGCGUGUCCUUCCAGAAACGGAGCGGGAGUGCAAACACUGCGGUUUCUUGGAGGGACUCAGAAUUGAUGUGGUGCUAUGGCAGAAUGGAACAGCAGUCCUUGUUCUGCAGAGGAGACUGGAGCUUCAUCAUCAAGUAGUUUAGAGACAAAAUGAUGAAAUCCAGGGAAGGGAGAAUUCAAGAGAAAUGAGGUGCUUCGAAGCGAAGUUCCUCCGGGUGCACCUCACUCACCGUGGUGCUGAACAGACUGCUCUUUUCUGGGCGAAUCUGUGCAGCUUGUUGCCUGAUUGCUUCUCACUCUUAUGCUUUUAAAAUCAGGUAGUUAACAUACAUAACAUCCACAAUCAUAGAAGGUGGAUCUCCAAAUUUAAGGCCCAGAACUAACAAAGAUUUAAAUAUGUUGAUACACUGCAAACUUUACUAGUGUUAUUUCUUAUAUUUAAAGAUCUAUGUACAAAAGAAGGGCUUUGUUAACACCACUGAGCAAAUGCAGUUGCUAAAACACAAGCAUUUUGCACUUCAAAUUAUCUGCCAGGAAUGUCCCCUUCACACCGCUGCCACUCCAAAGAACUGUCUUCCAACUGCUUCUGAAUAAAAACCAUGCAGAGGCCAGUCAGACUCCUGUUCUGACCUGGUGGAGCCUGUAUUCUUUUUUAUUUUCAAGUCAGUGCAUGAUAUUAAGUUUAACACUUCAGCACCAGGCUAAGAGAUUCCACGAUUUCCAUGUUUUCCCCAAUUACUUUCUGAAUAAGUAAAAAUAAAGUGUGCUAUUAAAUGACUUAGAGUACAGUUACUAGCAAAGUUGAGCACGUGAUUUUUAGCCUUGGCUUUGUUACAAAUGUGUAAUUUGUAUCCUGUGUUCGCUUUGUUACAAAUGUGUAAUUUGUAUCCUAUGGAAAAGGUGUCUCAAAGUAAUACUCUAUAAUCCCAAGAACUGGAAUGCAAGGAGGCCAAAAAUAAAUAGUUGCCUGGCAGGAACAAUGCUAUCUGCAUGACUGGCAAGCUUUCACCACUGCUCCUUGUCUAGAAAAAAAACCAGAACACGUUCUGUGUGCAGUAAUUCUAGCACUGGUUCCUCAUCUAAUACCAUUUUAUAUCCUGUUAUUUUCAAUUCAAGUUGAAGUGCUGUCUUUUUAGAGAAGGUGCUAUGAAAGUAUUCAAAUAGUUGACAUUUAACAAGGAUAGAAAUGCAACAGACUGAAUCACUGAGGUGUUCAUUAAUCAGCAUACAGUUAUUUCAGCUGACAGCAAGAAGAAUAAUGUACUGAUUUAAAAAAAAAAAAAGUUCUUUAUGUAAUCAACCCACUACUUCCUCCAGUGGAAAUGAGCUACUUGUGUUAAAACUGCAAGAAAAAAUGGGAUAAUGCCAUCUCCAACAUUCCAGCAUUCUGCCUUGGAAAUUUCCAAGAGCGGUAGGAACUCCGGUGCGGGCUGCUAGGUUGGCUGCCAUGGAAACAGACAGUGCUGGAAACACGGUUGUUUCCUUUAAAUUAAAAUCUAUUACACAGAAAGCCUCUAUUGAAAACAGCCUCCCUUGAAACAGGCUUUACACAGGCAGUCUCUGACAUACUGGGCCUGAUGCACAGAGCAGUAGAUGUUAACAGCACGUUCCAGUUGCAGGAAGGCACUGCUGCAGAAGACAGUUCUGUCUGCUGCACUGCAAAAUACAGUCCUCCAUCAGAAGUGAUUUAUGACUCAUUACAGCACCAGGAUUAAUGCAGGUGUGUGAACAGCAGGGUGGCAGUAAAGUAGGAGAGUGUUUUAGCCGAUGGCAGGUGGCCUUCACAAACAAUCUAUGGCGAUAGCAAAUACAGUAACUAGUUUGUUAGCAAAUACAGUAACUAGCUUUACUCAUUUCUGUGUGUCCAAACUCAGGAAUGGGAUGACGCAGUGCUCUUUUCAUUUACAUGGCAUGCCUAAGAAAGAAGGAUGGUGAGGAAAAAGCUGUGAGAAUAUUAGCUGUCUGUGGUUUGUUGGAAGUGAUUCUAAUUCUAACUUGUUCAGCAGGCUAAAGAUAAAAUGCAUCAACAGUCGUCCUGACCCCCAGCCUGAAGAUGAUGCGACCUGUUGAAUAAGUUUAAUUUUCAAAUAGAAAUAAUUAAUCAAUCAUUAAAGAAAUCUGACACCACCUAGGCCAAAGUGUCAUUUAAAAAACAAAAACCUAUUUUUACAAAAAAAUCCCUUGCCUUUUCUUGCAGAUUUUUAUGUAUUUUUUUCUAUUAUUUUGUAUGUGAAUUUUCUGCUAAGAAUAUAUCCAACACAAUGCAGGAAAAGUAAAACUGUCUCUUAUGCAUACUCAUUUUAGCAGAUACUCAGGUGUACCAUCAUUCUGUCUUAUAAAUGGUGGCAGCAGAGAGUACUGAGGGCUGUUUCAAACCAUCUUUUCCAAAUUCUGGAGGGAAAUCCUACAGCACUGUGAUUUAAGCAGCAAUAUUGUACACAUAGUUGUUUCUAGAAGCAACAUUAUCAUACUGGAAGUAGGAAAAGAAAAGCCGGAUCAGAAGGAUAGUGAAGUGUGAUCAUUAAAAACAAAGAAAAUGAAGCACAACAGUGUCAGUUGAGAAGCUUAAACGAGUAGGAAACAGAACAGUCUGUAUCUUUUCCUAUUGCUAUGGAACACGUUGCUUAGAAACAAGUCAGAACAUGCAGAGGCUCUAAAAUUACUGGAAGGUCUGCUGGGAUGAAUAUAUAUGUAUACGUUAAAAGCAAAACCUGUAUUUUUACGAUUCCUUCAAAAUCUUUCGAAUUAAAAAAAACACAAACCACCAACACAGACUCCCAUCUUGGGUAUGAAAUCUGAAAAAACAAAAGCAUUUUGUAAAAUUGCACACGGUAAGUAUCUGAACUGUAAUUACAUAUUCUAAAUCUGCAACAGCCCUCUCCUUAAUACUGUCUAUUAAUGUUUGUUUAAACAGAUUUGUAUUUCCUCCAUUAUUACUAUCAGCUCAGAAACACACUGUCAAGAGGCUAAUGGGUUCAAACUCUCCAUCAGCCACAGACUUGCUUUGUGAUAAGUCUGGAGCGUAAUACAUUGACUGAUGACAGACAAUUUCCAGCCAAGCCCCCUUGGGAAGUUAAUAUCUCCAUUCUACACAGUCUUCCUAUGCACAGCAGAGGCAGCAAACAAAAUGUGUACCCAGGCCAAUCAUCCGGGUCACAAGAUUACACAUUAACCUAAAAUGAGGAAGGUGGAUGUAUAUUUAAGAUGGCUGGUGCAACCUGGGGUGGAAGCAAUGGCAUUCUGUCAAUUUGCUAUGUAGACAAUAACAUAACUGUAGGGGCUUGCUCAGUGGACAACAACAAAGUCACUGCCUUAGAAAGACUGGAAGUGCAUACAUGCACUGCUGGAUGCUUUGUUAAAGGAAAAGAAACCUCCAGCACUGCAACAGAACAGACAGCGGCUUCAGUGUGGUUUCGUAACUUAAUCUGAUCUUAGACUGCAGAAUGCCAAUGAAGAGGUAAUGGUCUCUUCCUCUCUCCAACCACAGCUGCUCCACUUGCAGCAGCACCAGCAAAGAUGUAGCCUUCCAGGUCAGUACUCUGACCUGGGAAAUCCAAGAUUACUGAAAUAGCCUUCAGUGACACAAACUCACUGAUCCAGCUCAAUCCAGAACAGCAUAAUCACUAAUGCCAGCAUGAGAAGGAAGAUGGCAGCAAACAGCACAAGGCUGAACGAGAUGACACCUAUUUUUUGGCAGCAGUGGCCUUAGGCCUUACUUUCUUUGAAAGCUUUGGAAAAUCUUUGGCGUGACUGGAGUUGCAUAGCAAGUUUUCUUACAGCUCCUGGAUAGCCAAUGUAUCACCUAAUUGCAUAUAGAUAAUAUAUAACAUAUAAUUACUACACUGUGACCUUGGUUUAUCAAGGUAUUCAAGCAUGUGCUAUUACAAUAUUACAAUAGCACUACCAUGCACUUAUUCUCUGUUUAAGUGCUAUACUGAACCAGAAAAAUCUGUAGUGUGUUGGUUUAAUUGUAAGACAUGCAAUUAUCCCACUGUCAUUACAGAGAGCAUUUAUGGUAGGCAAAGUUAAGGACAGUAAUAUAACCUCACAGGAUCAGUGUACUGCAUUUGAAGUGCUUCCUUUGAUUAACUAUAACAAACAGUAUACUAUUUUUCAGCAUUUCCUUAUCAGUGUUUUAAGAAACAUACCGAUAAGCUGCCACUGAUGAGGGGCACUAUAUAUAAAUACUUAAAAUAUACUUACAUAAAUAUACACUAUCUAGAAAAACUAUUUUUUUAAAUAAACGCCAGCAGAAUCCUCAGGAAUUUAUGCCACGGCAGGAGAGCAGUAAAAGUCCAGAGUUUGACCAGUACUCAACAUGCAGGAAAUGUGCUAAAUAAACAGCUCUCGUGCAGUAUCGAUUUAACUGCAUGGACGAAGGGAAGUAACCACUCCUGCCUAAAUCUGGUAACUCAUUAACCAGACAGCAUGCAGAUAUUUCCAGCAAGCACCUGAGCAGUGCCUGUGCUUCUCUCGUUCUGCCCUGUAUGCUGUUUCUAGGACUUGCCAGUUUGCAGUUCCUCACAAGUCAAUAAAAUAAAAAAGCACAAUGAACCCAGGAAAUUAAUUAUGCUUUAAGGGGAGAGAGGGAGGAAAAACAUUUUUUCCUGGUCAGCUUUGUUUCCUUACGGUAACUGGCAGGCAACUGGUAACUCUGAAGCUCGGAUUAAUACAUGAAAGAUAGCACCAUCCUCAUUUCUUCCACCAAUUUCAUAAUCCCUUCAAGAACUUCCCUGCACAGCUGUACAUUCUUGAACAAGCUCAGUAAUUUCUGUACUGGAACAACCCGGAGUACAAAGCAAAACUGCCCAAAUUCACUGCUCGUUUACAAACGUGGCCAAAACAUAUUCCUAAAAUACGCACUGUUGAUGUGGACUCUUUCUUACUAACUGUAUGCACAAGAUGCCCUUAUUUCAUCCAAGGCUUUUCACUUAAUUUUCUAGAUGUGUUGUCUGUUCGCUUGCUAUGAGAUGGCAGUGCUUCGGGAAUUUCUGAAGAAGCUGCUUAGCUACCUUUGCACAGUGAGCCCCAGGGACAAACAGUUUUUGUUCUUUGCUCAUACAAAGGCAAUUUUGAUAAAAUGUGUAAAACUAAGAAAUAUUUUCACAGAACUGAUAAUAAGUAACUAUAGGAUACCACAAUCUAUAUUUUAUUGAAUACUCAUUAGCCUAUGCGAAGAAAAUAAAAUCCCUGUAACCUAACCUUCCUGUGCCUUUAAUAUUCAUCUGUUAAAGUCAGCAUUAGGAUUUGUGUUUCCACCAAGCUCUUCUUCCCUGUAAAGAAGCAAGUUAAAAAAAGGCUGCACCCAAUAGAAUUUAUUCCUGAAAUAAGCAAACUAUCAUUUUUAGAUUUAUCAAACUUACACAGAACAGAUUAGGAAGCAAAGGCUACGUCACCUUCUGAAUUACACAGAUUUCUACAUUCUUCAUUGUGGAUUGCUAAACAAAUUUUAAUUUUUUUUGGUUUUAACCGUUCACACAUGGUGUUGAAAAGUAUCUGAAUACGAAAGGGAAAAUCUGAAAAAUACCUAAACUACAUAUUUAUAUUAUAAACUGAAAAGGUGAAGAUAGCAGGUCUUCACUACAUAACAGAUUUACUAUGUUUUCAGUAAUUUGUUCUACACACAUAACAAAGAAAUGGCUUGUUUUGCUAAGCUUUAGAAAGAAGAAAUGCUGGAAGAAGGAAUCCUGUAUUCCCUCAGGUUCGAGUGGGACUGUUUGAGUUCUCAAGGCAAACACUAUGAGAAGGAAGCCACUGUUUGCCUUCUCUCUUCAAGCACUGUCUUUCCAUCAGGAGGAAAGGAAGCAGUAUUACAAAAAAACACAACAAACCAUAAGCUCUUUGGUAUAUAAAAAUCAGUAUUUUUUUGUAGCCCAAACUUAUUUCUAAGUAACACGGUGGCUUUUCUCCCUUGUUUAAAAAAAGUGCCAGUUACUGAAUUCUGUAAGAAACUUUAUAUCUUUUUGCUAUUUCAAAUGUUAUUAAGAUCCAAAUUAAACACAAAAGCAAAGCCAGCAUUUAAAUUCUGAGAAAGGCUUCUCAUAUGGGAAGGGGAAAGGAAGAAAUAAAUCAUGUCAUAUGAACUAAGAAGAAAUCUCUGUAUCACCAGAGAACCCAAUGAUACAUGGAGCAAAAGCCACGGCUGAGUGCUCUAAAAGGGAGGAAGGAGCUCUGUCUGCUACAAAAUAGAACUCGUUUCUGAUGGAUUAUGAAGUUUGAGUCUGAGUCUUGAACUGCAAAGCGCCUGGAAAGUUAUCAUGCACCAGCUCAGUGCGCGUGCAGGGCUGCCAGCUGACCUCAGGCGGUCUCUUCCCAGUCCCCCUUAAUGCAGGCCAGCUACAAGAAUAUCUCCUGCUAGAAGGAAUGAGACAGCUUCCAUGCCUCAGCAGUGCUAUAGCCACAGCCCAGCAAAUACUACUUGAGAUUAAUUCUGUAUAGCAGCAUUUGUUAGCUUUAAAUAAAGCUGCAAAUAUCCUCAAGCUAUUUGUAUUUUACAGACCGAUGCUUAUGGGUUGUGUUAAUUUAAUGUACAGUGUAAUAACAAUCGUUUAAGGAGAUAUGAAUUAAUUUCAAAAGCAGACAUCUGGAAAGCAGGCUGUAAUCCAAUUCAAGAAUGGGGAAAAGAAGGCUAUUUAGAAAAAGACAGUAGCUGAGGAAACCAGUGUUGGCAAUACCAGUGGCAAUGCACAUACCGAACUAACAGUCUGUGGGUUUUUGUUAUCAGUAGUGUCAAAUUUCAUGAUAUUCAUUUCAUUAUAUUCAUUUCAGUGACAUUUUGGAGGGUUUUGUGCAACAUUUACAGAAAAUCUCAGAGUUCUUCAUGAAUUCAGAACUACAUAUUACUCUGAAGAGAGCGAUCGCUCAUUUUUCUUCACGGUACAAUUUCUGUCAAGCUAUGAUGAUCAUUAUUUAACAACUAAAUUCUGAAUUCAGCUUUUAGAGGGAAAACAAUACCUAAUUUGUUGUGCAAAGACACUCCUUGACAUACAGUAUGACCCCAGAAAUACUUGUGAAAUUAGAAUGCAUGGUUCUUCUGAAUUUUCUGUCCCCCAAUCAGUAAGAGACUGACCUUCCUU